ACCAUGACGAAUCCACACCAUAAAUAUACACCAAAACCUCUCAUUCCAACGCCACCACACCAACAUUUCAAUCUCUUUUAGCUCGUCCUAGCUUAAUAUAUAGCUACAUUAUCCCCUACCCAUCCUUCAUUCCAGUAACCAUGGCAAAAUUUGCCAUACUUUCCUUCUUGAUUUCGCUCAACAUCUUAUCCUUUUCUUCCCCAGGAUCAGCCAUCUCCUCAUGCAAUGGUCCAUGCAAAACCUUGAAUGAUUGCGACGGCCAGUUAAUUUGCAUUGGAGGAAAAUGUAACGACGAUCCUGACGUUGGAACCCACAAAUGCAGCGGAAGCUCGCCUUCCGGGCCAUCCCCUUCGGGCAACUGCCGUCCAACUGGCUCUAUGACGUGUAAAGGAGUGACUAAACCCACCUAUACAUGCUCUCCCCCGGUUACUAGCUCCACAGCGGCCAUUCUUACCCUAAAUAAUUUUGAAGAAGGUGGAGACGGCGGGGCUGCAUCAGAAUGUGACGGCCAAUUUCACAAAAAUAGUGAAAGGGUUGUUGCACUUUCCACUGGUUGGUAUGCUGGAGGGUCGAGGUGUGGGAAAAUGAUAAGAAUCAGAGCCAGCAAUGGGAGAACCGUGACUGCAAAGGUUGUGGAUGAAUGCGACUCCAGAAAUGGCUGUGAUAAAGAGCACGCUGGCCAACCCCCGUGUGAUAACAACAUCGUUGAUGGAUCCAGUGCUGUCUGGAGAGCAUUAGGGCUUAACGAGGAUGAUGGAAGAGUACCAGUUACUUGGUCUAUGGCAUGAUUAAUUGAUAUGAUGACAUUGAGAUCGAUAUAUGCACAACAAUUCCAUCAAUAAUAAGUUGGCUUCUAGAAUAAGAGCGUCCCAAGUCUGUUCCUGGGGGCCCAAAAACAUAAAGGUCUGUUCUUGCAGUGUAAUUUGGUUUUGUUUUCUAUAGUGUCAAUUUACUGAAAAGUGGCAUUAUGGAAAAUGAUGUCUUGGAUGGUCUUCAAUGGUUGACCAACCCAGAAUUCGUCACAUGAAUAAGAUUGGAUAUGGUUUCCAAAGUGCUUUUCACGGGUUCUUUUUGAAUUUCUUACUUCUCGUUCUCGCGAACACAAAUGGUUAAUGGUGUUUGAUGUUUAAAACAAAGAAAUCUCAAUAAAAUUUUCUUUCAAUAACAUUUUGAAAUGUGCAGUUUCUCUCUCUCUCUUAAAAAAAAUUUUCUUUGGUGCGAUUAGUUUUACAAUAGAGUCAUAUCUAAAUCACAGACAUUGUGGUCUACAAACUUACAUCACCUACUGUGACAAGUUUUUGUAAUAUCACAAAAGGCUCUAUAAACGUUGCUAAUUUGUAUGUAACCCCAGUUUUAACCCUUUUUUGGGCAAAUUACACUUUAACCCGUUGUGAUUUAGUGUUUUCUCACGUAACUCCCAACCCUCAUAUGGUUUCAAACAGUAUACAUAACCCCCCAUGAUUUGAAUUAAAAUAUCAAAAUGACAAAAUUUACAAUCCACAACGAAAUCAAUUAAAAUGUCAAAAAUACUUCUAUGUAAAAUUGAAAAUUAUUUAUUAAUCACAGGGGAAUUAUGUAUAUAUAUUGAAAAUCAUAAAGGGGUUAUCUAGUAAACUACUUAACCAUAAGGGGUUUAUAUGAUAAAAUAUAAAAUCAUACCGGAUUAGAGUUUUAUGCAUAUUACAUUUAUAUAUUUUGGUCAUUUCAACGAUUUUAGUUUUAAAUAAGAGUAAAUUUGAUAUUUUUAUAGGUUUUGUUACAGAUGAUCAUUUCCAUUACUUUGACACUUUAAUCCAAACAAUGAGGAGGUUAUAUAUAGUUUUUAAAAUUAUAGGAGGUUAUCUGAAAAUUAGCUAUACAAGAAGGGAUAAAGUGUAAUUUGCCUUCUUUUUUUGGUAGCAUCUUUCAGUAUUUCCUUUCUCCACCCAUUCGCUUCCUUUUUCCUCGGCUUCAGUUGUCUUUACCUUGUUCCCCUUGCCCUGCUUCUCCUCUUCACCGUGUGCAGGCCUUUUAUCACAAUGGAUUCCCCACUAAUUCUAGAUAAGUUGAACGUAAAAAUAAAUUUCUUCAAUUUUUCACAAGGAAUCAGGAUACAUAACAUGAUAUUAUUGUUUAAGUUUCAAAUAGACUUUUGCAAGUGCAUCUUCCUGCCAUGAAACUUCACGGAUGAUUUGGAAGAUAUCAUUUAGUAGAUCAACGGGAAAACAAAUCAUGCCUUGACAGAAUAGAUGAGCUGAAAACAUAUACAUAAACAAACGAAGCUGCGCAUUGAAAGGAAAGAGGAAGAGGAAUAUCCACAUCCCACAAUUGAUGAGUACUUGAAUAUACAACAACCACGCACUAUUUACACAUAUACUGUACAUAGCAGGAACAAACCAAGACGAGGCUAAAGAUUUGCAACUAGUCUACAUUUUCCCUGCUCAAGAAAUCAUAUGGGAAGAAGCUGGCCUAUUUUCCACGAGCGAAUUAUUAUAUAUGAUAGGGGCAUGAUUACUAAUUAUCAUUCAUCACCGCAUCUAAACAUACGAAAUGGAAAAAGAGAGAGGAGAUAAACGAAACAAAUCGUGGAACAGCACAAGCGUUACGCUUUAAUUUUUUUUUUUUUAUUGGUUUGAUUAGUACAAAGAAUAGAAAGAGACCCGAGAUGUCGUUUUAUUACUUUUAAGACAAGACAAGAGAUUCCAACCAUCCAAUAUCAUUUGCUUUGUACAAUAUUUCUAUUAGCAAAGCUUGGCUUAAAAAAAUUCCAAUCACUAAUAAGACCAGAAGCUAAGAUUUUUUUUUUCCCUUUUUUUUUUGUCUUGGGGGUACAAAGAAAUGCAUUUCUUGAUUGAUUGAUGCAAGUCUUCCGCUUACUAACUGGGCUUCACCUUGGGUGCACAAAACUAGCUUAAAAAUUUGCAUUUAGUAAGCCUGAUAAGUGCGCCGGCCAUAUUGUACGAACUGGCGUUGGAGAGAGGCAAAGUCCACCUUCCUUUUCAUUCUUUAGUCUCUGUCCGAUGAGCCCAUCCAAGGAUCUAAAAAGAAAGUCACCCAAAAAAUUCAAACUAUAACUUCAUAAACUUCAACCAAAAAAAAAAAGGGUCAAAUUUUCAUCUGUCAUAAUAGUUUAGUCAUGUUGGUAUAUAUCGUAAUUCACUAACUUUAGAUAUCGAUAGUGCAUCAAUCACAUCCAUAUACAGGAGAUAAAACCAUGCCAAAUUCCUAGCAUUAUUGACCCUGUGCAUGCAUUAGGCCUGGCAUUGUCCACAUCUGGUGUCAUCAAUAAUAAGCUACAGCCCUCGCAUUCGUGAGUUAACUAGGCGGCCGAUUCUCAAGUCUCAAUCUCUCAUAAGAAUUUAACACAUUGCAAAGACAAAGGGUGUGAUGUUUGAACCUAUAUGCCCAUUAAAAUCUGGCAUUGACCUUGGCUGGUUGCAAAAUCAAACCUGACCACCAUCUAUUUGUGUGAGCUGGUCUUCCUUCCACGAAAGAAAACUCAAGCAAAAGCUGCGGGCAUUCUAUCCAAUGAACCACAAGCAUAAGUUGACCGAAGGGCCCCUUGACUUUUGCUACUAGAAAGCCAAAAUUUGGGUCUUUUAAUUGGUGUCACGUAUCAGUAGCUUAGUGGAAGGGCAAAUACUCGGAGGUAAACCCGGUCUAUUAUCUAUAGCCCUAGUUUUAGAUCACAUGGUAUGCUGAAAAACUACGAUGAGUUUUUUUUUUUUGGCUGCAUUGUUAGCUAUGGUCUCUCAUCGACUCUUGUACCUAUCAUGUGCAUUCAUGACUGGUGACGUGAAGAAGCCGAAUUCAAUCGAGUUAUAUUUACGAACUUGAAUAUUGCAUUCGGUAUUUAAAAUUCUAAAACAUGUUAAUUUAUACUAUCACUUAAAUUUGAUGAGUUCGAUUUAGUUUAGAUUCAAUCGGGUUCAAUCUCAAGUUAAAGUAAACUAAAACUAAAUUGAGUUUCAGCUUGAAUUCAAGAUAAACUAUUUUAGCUCAAGUCAAAUUUAAAUAAUACAUUAUUUGAGUUUGAUUCAAAUCAUUUGCACGUCUAAUUAUAUCCACGUGUCUUUUGGACAUAUCAGAAGCUCUACAAGUUGUAGAUAGGGCUUUUUUCAUAGUUGACAUUUAGGGAUGGCAAUGAGAGCGGUGCCCGCCCCGCGGGGGCUCACGGGGCGGGGGUUGGGGCGGGGGCGGGGGCGGGGGGAAUUUUUUCCCCCCGCUUAGAAACGGCGCGGGGGGCGGGGGAGUAUACCCCCGCCCUAUCCCCCGCCCCGUCACCCGCAAAAAAAAAAAAAUAUAUAUAUAUAUAUAUUAUAUAUAUAAAUGACUAUAUAUUAUAUGUAAGUUAAUUAGUUAUAAACUUAUGAUAAUGAUAUUAUUAGUUAGAUAUAUUAUAUAAUGUAUAUUAGUUUAUGUAAUAUAAUUGAUAUUAUCAAUUAUAUGAAUAAUUAUACAUGUCUACUAAUAGAAUUUAUUAAUUAGUUAUACUAAAUUUACUAAUACAUUUAUACUAAAUUUCUAAUUACACUUAAUAGAAUAACACUUUUUUCUCAAAAAAAAGUACAAACACAAUGAUGAAUUAGUGAUUGCAUUUGUACUAAAAGUGAAAAUUUGACUAUUUUAGUUAUAUUUAUUUCAUCAUAUUGGAUUGUAUUCAAAUAACUUCUGUUUGAUUGUUUUUAUGAGUUUCAAUUGUAAAAUUACAAUGAAUAAUAAUUUGGUGAGGUAUUGAUAUUUUAGUACUUGAUUAUUUAUUAAAAAUUAAUUAUAAUAAAAUUAUAUAAUAAAAUUUUAUUAACCUCGCGGGUGCCCCCGCGGGAGAAGCGGGGCAAGGCGGGGGACGGAGGGAACUAAUAGGCAACGGGACGGGGGACGGGAGAGGGGUCCCCCGCCCCAACCCCGCCCCGUUGCCAUCCCUAUUGACAUUACACAGUGUCAGGAAUUCGUGAAUUAGCCGCGGAAACACGACUCUCCCUAUACUCACUAUUUUGCAUUGAUUCGAAAGAUAGAGAAAAAACGAUUAAUAUAUAGGUAAGGAUAUGAGAUCUAAUAACUUAAGAUUGUGGAUUAGAAUUAAAUUUCUAACUUACAUAUUAGACACUUUUGCGAGUUUUCCCGAAGCGUUUCUUCCUGUCAUUUAGUCAGUCAACAAAAGCAGCAGCCAGCACAAAGAUAAACUCAGCAGCCGUUCAUCCUUCUCAAGGCGACCAUAACAAAUCCACACUAUAAAUAUACGCCAAAACCUCUCAUUCCAAUGCCACCCCACCAACAUUUCAAUCUCUUUUAGCUCGUCCUAGCUUAAUAUAUAGCUACAUUAUCCCCUACCCAUCCUUCAUUCCGGUAACCAUGGCAAAAUUUGCCAUACUUUCCUUCUUGAUUUCGCACAACAUCUUAUCUUUUCUUCCCCAGGAUCAGCCAUCUCCUCAUGCAAUGGUCCAUGCAAAACCUUGAAUGAUUGCGACGGCCAGUUAAUUUGCAUUGGAGGAAAAUGUAACGACGAUCCUGACGUUGGAACCCACAAAUGCAGCGGAAGCUCGCCUUCCG
rnacentral:lncRNA from 1 species